rnacentral:rRNA from 1 species
GAUGAACGCUAGCGACAGGCUUAACACAUGCAAGUCGAGGGGUAAAUGGUAGCAAUACUAUGAGACCGGCGGACGGGUGCGUAACGCGUAUGCAACAUACCUUUAGCAGGGGGAUAGCCCGUGGAAACGCGGAUUAAUAUUCCAUAGUCCAGCAGUAUCGCAUGGUACCACUGGUAAAGAUUAAUCGGCUAAAGAUUGGCAUGCGUCUGAUUAGUUAGUUGGUAGGGUAACGGCCUACCAAGGCGACGAUCAGUAGGGGUUCUGAGAGGAUUACCCCCCACACUGGUACUGAGACACGGACCAGACUCCUACGGGAGGCAGCAGUGAGGAAUAUUGGUCAAUGGGCGGAAGCCUGAACCAGCCAUCCCGCGUGAAGGAAGACAGCCUUACGGGUUGUAAACUUCUUUUCUGUUUUGAAGAAUAAGCCCGUUGAGACGGGUGAUGCCGGUAGGACAGGAAUAAGCAUCGGCUAACUCCGUGCCCAGCAGCCGCGGUAAGAUCACGUGUA